rnacentral:rRNA from 1 species
GUUUCCGUAGGCGAACCUGCGGAAGGAUCAUUA